rnacentral:rRNA from 1 species
CUUAGCAGCCAUAUCACCUUGCAACUCACACCUGGCAACCCACUGAAGCUAAGCAGGUGUGAGCCUGGUCAGUACCUGGAUGUGAGACCUCCUGGGAAAAACUAAGGUUGGUGCUGGUA